rnacentral:rRNA from 1 species
GCUUGCUCCUUUGACGUUAGCGGCGGACGGGUGAGUAACACGUGGAUAACCUACCUAUAAGACUGGGAUAACUUCGGGAAACCGGAGCUAAUACCGGAUAACAUAUUGAACCGCAUGGUUCAAUAGUGAAAGGCGGCUUUGCUGUCACUUAUAGAUGGAUCCGCGCCGUAUUAGCUAGUUGGUAAGGUAACGGCUUACCAAGGCAACGAUACGUAGCCGACCUGAGAGGGUGAUCGGCCACACUGGAACUGAGACACGGUCCAGACUCCUACGGGAGGCAGCAGUAGGGAAUCUUCCGCAAUGGGCGAAAGCCUGACGGAGCAACGCCGCGUGAGUGAUGAAGGUCUUCGGAUCGUAAAACUCUGUUAUCAGGGAAGAACAAAUGUGUAAGUAACUGUGCACAUCUUGACGGUACCUGAUCAGAAAGCCACGGCUAACUACGUGCCAGCAGCCGCGGUAAUACGUAGGUGGCAAGCGUUAUCCGGAAUUAUUGGGCGUAAAGCGCGCGUAGGCGGUUUUUUAAGUCUGAUGUG